rnacentral:rRNA from 1 species
GAGUUUGAUCCUGGUUCAGGACGAACGCUGGCGGCGUGCCUAAUACAUGCAAGUCGAACGAGGUCCAUCCGGCGGCAACACCGGAGAGGACCUAGUGGCGAACGGGUGAGUACCACGUGAGCAACCUGUCCCGAAGACGGGGAUAACACCGGGAAACCGGUGCUAAUACCGGAUAUCCCCACCAGACCGCAUGGUCCGGUAGGGAAAGGCCUGUGAAAGCAGACGCUUCGGGAGGGGCUCGCGGCCUAUCAGCUAGUUGGUGGGGUAACGGCCCACCAAGGCUACGACGGGUAGCUGGUCUGAGAGGACGAUCAGCCACACUGGGACUGAGACACGGCCCAGACUCCUACGGGAGGCAGCAGUAGGGAAUCUUGCGCAAUGGGCGAAAGCCUGACGCAGCAACGCCGCGUGGGGGACGAAGGCUUUCUGAGUUGUAAACCCCUUUCAGCAGGGACGAUUGUGACGGUACCUGCAGAAGAAGCACCGGCCAACUACGUGCCAGCAGCCGCGGUAAUACGUAGGGGGCAAGCGUUGUCCGGAUUUAUUGGGCGUAAAGAGCUCUUAGGCGGCUUGGCAAGUCGGAUGUGAAACCUCCAGG